rnacentral:lncRNA from 1 species
CCUUAUUUAAUUAAGGUAUGGAUCCAAUUCUUUCAUCUGGGCCGGACUAUCAUAUUUAUGGAUUUUUCAAAGCCCAAUUGAGUUUUUAUAUUCUUGGAGCUCAAGUUUUUCAAACAGAUAUUUUCUUACUACCACAUUAUUAUUUAUUGAAUGGAAUUCAGAAUCUCAAAUGUCCACGUAGCUUAGUUUCCUCCUACUUAACACCCCCAAUCUUUCAGCUUCUUCAACCACAAAUUAGCUGAUUUCAUUCUCCUUCAAAACAACUCAGUCCAUCGCAUUCCCCAGCAAACUUCUAUCUCUCAUAUCUCAAUUUCAAGAACUCUCACAAUCGCUCCAGAAUACCUGCAAGUAUUUAUAAUCUACCAAAUCAACAGUUCUUCCACAACCCAUUCUCGGCCAUAAAUUCAAGAAACCGAAAUUAUUUUCACAGAGGUAAACCAACUCACAUAUUCAUGCCAUAAUCAGUAAUCUAUUUCAUAAAGAACCAUCACAUUAACAAGGAAUCUUGAAACAGAAAGCAAGAGAAGUAUGGCAUAUAAAUUGACUUUGCAUAUAAUGUAUGCCUGCAUAUACACGUGCAUUUUUCUGCAAAUCAGUUAGUUAAAGCAUUUAGAAUAAAUGAAUCUAUUUGUCUUGUGUAUGUUGGUGUGUGAGGUUGUUGCUGGGGUUGUGAGUCGAGGGAGGACCGGCGGCGGCAGUGGCGGCCUGAGGCUUCCGCUGUUGCGGCCGAGAGAGAGAAAGAGGGGAGUCCGCUACAGUUCGGAAAGGGAAGACGGAGGCUGCGGUGUCGGUUGGAGUAGCAGAGGAGGGAGACGGUGGAUGGGUAGGCAGGAGCUUAGGGUUUUCGAUAAUUUUUGGGGAUUUUUGUAUCUUAUAAAGAGAAAAGAGAUGAGUGAGAAGAGGGAGACACUGGAGGGUGGUGGCCGGUGAUGAGGAGGGAGGCGGCGGCGACUUUGGGGAUUUAGGAUUUCUGUAUUUGGGGUUUUUGCAGGAGAAUUGGAUAGAGAGGGAGAAAGAUAGAGAGAGAUGAAGGUGGCGGUGGUAAACCGGCGACGCGCCGCCGGAUUUGUGGGAGGCGGAGGCAGCGGCGGCGUGAGGUGAGCAAAGGAGGGAGACACCGAAUGGGAGAGUGAGAGAGUGAGGUCUUGUGUCUGUGUGUGCGUUGAGAAAAAGGAGAAGAGAGGAGAGAUUGAUUAGUUGAGUUGGGCUCCAACAUUGGGCCUCUAAUUUAAUUAAGUGGGCUGCACUUUUAUAACUUGGGCUAUGAAUUAUAUUUUGGGCUGUAAUUUUGUAUGAAGAGAGCCCCUUAUUAAAUUACUAAUUGGACCAUGAAUUUACUUAUUUGUGAAUUGAGUUUUUUAAAGUAAAAGCUGAGCAAGGGUAUUAUUGAAACCCUUAGCCAAGAAAAAAUGAUUUUCAAAUUUUAUGUUGAAUUUAUGAAAAUCCGGGUGUUGCGAAUCUAGUUAGAAAAUGAUGACAAGUCAUAAAGGUUAAGCUUGAUUUUAGGACUAUGAGUUUAAGUUGAAAACUUAUCUUGUAGGUCCUACAGAAGAGGAUAUUUAGGCUCUUGAUCAGCUGAGUUAUAUUGUUUGGAUUUUCUCCUAAUCAGGUGAGGCUUUAUUUACGAAAUGUAUGUUUGAGCUAAUAAGCUCGGUUUUAUGUAAAGUUAAAGUUGAUGGUUCAUGCUUAAAAUAUUUUUGCUCUCUAUUGGUUAUUGCUUCUACCAGAACAUUGUUAGCUCUGCUAACCAGAAUUGUGUACGCACACCAGAACCUGUUGUCUCGAGUAGGGGUGAGCAUUCG